GGAUGAUUGGUAAGUUGACCAUAGUUGCGGUACUUUAUGACAUUGCUUAACUGUGUUGAUCUCUGCAACAGGUGCACAUGUGGAGUGUGCCGAUCAAUGCAAACACGGCGCGAGGACGUCUGCUGCCGCAACGUGCCAGCAGCUGUCGAAAAGAAGCCGGAGGGCUGUGUCACGACGGCGUCGGAGUUCCAAGCGUCGUGCUUGACCGACGUCGUUAUACGGCUAGCCCUCCAAUCACUUGAAAAUCAGGGUGUGUUCAUGAACACGCCGCUUCACGAGAGGUACCGCUAUGUUGCCUACCGGCAGUGUGCAUCCUGGCUCUGGGGGCACCUUGGCGAAGGGAACCGUCAUGUGCUGCCAUCAUGUGUUGUGUGGGCAAUUCGGGAAAAGUUCCCUUCAACGUACUACACUGGAUUUAGACCUACACUGUAGAGAUAAAAUUGAUGUACCGUAACUAUUUUCAAUACAUACUUUUGUGGA